ACAGGCUGAGAGAGGCUUGGACUGCACUAAUGAAAAUCUUUUUUAGCAUUUGUUAACUGAAGCAUAGAGAUACUAAAGAAUGCACCUGGGUCAAGGGAAAGAGUUUCCUCAGAGAACAGCAAGGUACAUAGGAGCUUUGGAUGGUUCCCAGGUGCUAAAAUAAAGUGUGCAAGCCAGCCACUUGUACCUCAAAAGGGACCUGUGUGCUCAGAUCUGUCCAAACAAUUAGCCCAGCUUGGCCCACCUGUAGUCUUUACCUUUCUGGAAGGCCUUUGGAAAGAACUUUAUUUUCCUGUGGUCCCAUCCACAUCCACAUAGCUCUGGACUUCAAUGACUUUUAGCCUGUCUUCUGCACCAGAACCUCUUCCUUUAAUGGCAAGAUGUGAUUUGGAUCUUGUAGUAUUGACCUCCCCAUCACUAGCCUCUGCAAUCA